rnacentral:rRNA from 1 species
UACGGAGGGUGCGAGCGUUGUCCGGAAUCACUGGGCGUAAAGGGCGCGUAGGUGGCGCGGGCAGUCAACGGUGAAAGUUCGGGGCUCAACCCUGAAUCGGCCGUCGAUACUCCCGUGCUUGAGCACUGUAGAGGCAGAUGGAAUUCCGGGUGUAGCGGUGGAAUGCGUAGAGAUCCGGAAGAACACCGGUGGCGAAGGCGGUUAGCUGGGCAGUUGCUGACACUGAGGCGCGACAGCGUGGGGAGCAAACAGG